rnacentral:rRNA from 1 species
CGAAGGGUCCAAGCGUUAUCCGGAUUUAUUGGGUUUAAAGGGUGCGUAGGCGGCUUUUUAAGUCAGUGGUGAAAGCUCCAUGCUUAACAUGGGAAUUGCCAUUGAUACUGAAGAGCUUGAGUACAUUUGAAGUGGGCGGAAUAUGUCAUGUAGAGGUGAAAUUCUUAGAGAUGACAUAGAACACCGAUUGCGAAGGCAGCUCACUAAACUGUAACUGACGCUGAGGCACGAAAGCGUGGGGAUCAAACAGGAUUAGAUACCCUGGUAGUCCACGCCCUAAACGAUGAUUACUAGAUGUGUGCAAUAUACCGUACGCGUCACAGCUAAAGCGUUAAGUAAUCCACCUGGGGAGUACGGUCGCAAGACUG